rnacentral:lncRNA from 1 species
GUGGGUUGGGCUUCUCCAUGUGAAAAUAAGUUGCACUAGGCUUGUUAUCAGGCCCUGAUUUGGGCUCUAAAACCAGCUACCUUAAUAAUUCAUUUAUAGGCUUCUUUUGUUUAGUACGCCGAACCACCGUUUUAAGUCAGCACUCUAUAUUCGUCUCUAAAAAAAAGUCAGCACUCUAUGUGGAUUCCCCUAAAAAAACACUCUAUCUGGAUGUUUUUUUGUGUGUUUUUUUGGCAUCAAAGGGACUAAAAGGGUUGGACACGCUUUGCUGCAUCGUUGGGGUUUUUGGGUUUCUUAAAACUGCACUCUUGUUUAAAAAUAUAAGGCAUAUAAUUUAUUUGAAAAGUCAAAC